AACCCUGCCGUCGAAAGCCCCUCGGCCCAAUCCAAUCGCCCGCACUCUGCAACCCUCCCUCCCUCCUCGAUCUCUCUCCCUCAGCCGCCACAAACCCUAGGUCCCUUUCCUACGAUCCCGUGGUCGCUGCUCCUGCUCCAUCCGACCUUCGUGGAGGGCCCGAUCCGCGCCGACGCCGUGCCGGCGGCGGCCGGGGCGGGCGUGGAGAGGGCCGAUGCGGCGGCCGCGGGCGGGGCGGCGGCAGCCAACGCCAGGGAGGACGGGGUCAGGGAGUACAAGAGUGACGUGCGGAACCCCUCCGCAGAGGAGUUCGUGCCGCUCUCCCGCCGCCAGGGGGACGGCGCAUGCCGCCUGUCGGCCGACGCGCCCGUCUUCAUCUCGCCCGCGAUCGACUACUAUGUUCCUCCGUCCACUGACUUUGUCCAUGCAGGUGGCCAGUUUCCUUCCGUUCCAACCUUCUCCACGGUCUCCCCAAUUCAUCCUUCGUCCCUUGCUGCUCGAGAUUCUCAUCUGCUCAGGCCGCGAGGAAGCCACAUGAGGAGGAGACACCUCGCCCCGAGAAUCCCGAGAGGAGGGGCUCAACCAGAGAGGAGCAGAUGCCAGCCAGGUAGUCGGCUCGGCACGACAUCAUCCUUCGUGUCUGGCCCGCAGCAGACCCUAGCGCUGUCCUUUAGGUGUCUUCACGGCUGCAGGAGUGUAUGUGUUAAGCUUCAGGCUGAUGUAUUGGUUGAGAUCGAGGAGAGAGCAAGCCGUUGCAGAGGAGAGGGGAUACGAGGGUGGGCGGAGGUCAGGCAUUGCUAACAGAUUUGAGGCGGAGUGGGAAAGGUGAAGGUGAUGCCAGCCGGCUGGCGCCUCACCACUGGCUCCUGUUUUGCAGCAGCAAAGAGAAAGGUGCCGAGGAUGUGUUGCUCUAUGCACGGCUGUCAGAAGUACGUCCUUGCUAUGAUGUAUUUUUCUAUGGCUUUCUCCAUUAGAAUAUUUCUCCUCAACGACCAUAUCAACCUGUCUGGUGUUUGCACAUGUCAUUUUGCUUGAGGUUACCGCCAUUCCACCUCUUCCUUGUGAUGGUAUAGGAGUACAUACUAAUUUGAUAAACAAGAGGCGAAGUUGCCAACGCCUGAGAUAGUGGUUCCUACCUAUGGCCUUCGCACCUUUAGUUCCGCAAGUAGUUCAGCAACUCAAAUGUCCAGCGAUUUGCUUUCUCCUUGGUUUACACUGGCUGCAGCCUCCUAUUUGUGACGUCGUAGCCCCAAAGGUGAGUUGAGUUGCUACUUGGUUGGAGAUGUUGAUGUCGUUUGAGAUGCCCGCUGGAUUCACCCUUUUCAAGGUUCUGAAUAAGGGCAAGCUCGACAAGGUCGAGUGGUACAGGUGUGAUCUUCAUGGAGCUAGCGAUCAUUGGAUUUGGUAAUACAUAUUCACUUAUUCAGAGAGCCCAAGGUGAGAAGGGACGAGCAUCUAGAACAUCACCACCUACUUAUCAGUGAGCUACUAUCUGUCUUUGAAUAAGUUACUUAACAAGAGAAGGCAGGUAGCAAUAGAACACGUGCAAUCUCAAUGUUUACUAAUUAUCUAUUUCUGAAUUUAUUCGUUCCCAGCUGCUCUGAAUCUAGGUGUUUUGCUUACUGCUUUGUAGGAGUUUCCUACCUUUCUUCUGCAAAUCUGGAAUGCCUUUAUGGCAUGAUCAUGUGAAAAAAGUACCUUCAUGCAGUAAUGGAUUUGAUUAUCACUAGUUACUCUGUUUUCACGAAUUAUACCCUAAGGCCCAUGUAAAUCUGAUAGAAGAUUAAGCUAUUUAAUUUUAACUAAAAAGGAUAAUAUUCUUUCAGUCGCUUGACUCUGUCCAGACCUGAAAAAUACUUAUACUUUGAAAGCUUGAUAUAUGAGUAUGUAAUUUUACAGGUAUUUAGAUAGCCGACAAUGUUAUUGUUCAAAUGUACUCGAGCCAGGUUUUCGGUGUUUCAUUGCAACCAAAAGAAUUGGUAAUAUUGUUUUGAUGAAAACAUGGUCGCACUUGUCGGUGUUGUAGUGGCAUAGGAAAUUUUUCCCUAAGAUCCACUAUGAAGUUGAUUGAAAGUCCAUUUUCCCUAAGAUCCACUAUGAUAAUGAAAAAGAUUUCUAAAAACUGUGUCACCAUAAAUGUUCCAUCAUUGUCCAUAGCAGUCCCAUGCCAUAUUAAUUUCAGAAGAAUAAAUUCUUAUUCAGAUGUUCAUUGUGUUUUUAUGUACUGCUAUAUCUAAAAAAGCAAGUUUCAGCUAAAACCAGAGCCGUGGUUAAGAUACUCUUCGCACCUAUGCUCAGAUUGCUAACUUUAAACUAUAGUUUUAGAAAAUGUGGUGCCCUCACUUAUUUUUCUAAUGCAUGAACUUAGGGUAAAUGUUUUAUGUGUAAUGCGUGCUUGAUUUCUUUUUGAUUCUGGUGGAUUUUGAUUUUCUCCACCAUGCUUCUCUCCAAUGGGAUGAGUCUGUUUUCACAAUGCAUGUGCUUAUUGUUGGCUGUUGCUAUGUGGUAUGCAUUUUCUCAUUGUUGGUUGUUUGUUGUUUGUUGUUUGCUAUGAUUAAGAUACAUUGGCAUGUACAUUUUAUAUCAGUUUUGUUUUCAACGCCACCUAUCACUGUAUUAUUUGCCGUUAAUAGAGUAGUUUCUCCUUUAUUCCAUUGCAUAAUGCUAGCAGAAAAAUAAUCCUCUUCCAAGGUUAAACCUGUUUUUUCCUUCUAGCAAAGAUCUUCUCUGGAAAAGAUCAAUUAUGUUAGCCUAUAAUAUUGCAGUUCUUUCGUAUCCUUCAAAGAUUUAUAAAUAUUUUCUGUUUCCACUCCCUUCGUUCUCAUGGAUUCUGAAAAAAAAAUGUUUUUGUUGAUUAAUAAUAUUGCUUUCCCUUUCAGUAUUGUGGUGGUCGAUGCAUGUAGAAUAUACAAACUUUCCUAGAAUGGCGCAUUUUAGUUUUUCUGCCUGAUGUUAGUUCACUGUUGAGAACACCUAUGUACAUGAUUGCUGCAUGCAUGAUAUCCUACUAUAUACUGAGAAAUAUUUUUGUUUUCCGGACAUUGUUUUCUAAAUCCUAUCGACAUAUUACCUGACAUGGUCUUUGAAGUUUCUAUUUUAUAGCGAGCUUUGCACUGGUCAACUUGAGUAUGGUAUGGUUAUCUUUUCUUUUGUUUACAGGCGAUGUGUGGUAGAAGCUGUACUCACAGGAAGACUAUCGUGCUGUGUAUAGACCACGUUCUACGAUUCACUUAUGUUAUGCAUAUUUACUUUUCAGUUUUAGGACUGAAAUCCAUCCAUUGUAAUGAAUUUGGUUGUAUGGGCAUUACCUAUUUGACUUAGGCUUGCUUCAUCACAUAUAGACUGCUUUUCUUUUCCCCAUUGCUUGUAUGACCUAAAACUAUCAUGUAUAUGAGGCAAGUUAUUGGCAAUGUUUCACAUUUUCUUACUUGCAA